ACUUUCCUCCUUCUACUUCUUCCUUUCUUCAUCCUUUAUAAUCUCUUCCGUUUUUCCUUAGCUGUGUCCGUCUCAUAUCUUCUCUUCUCAGGCAAAUUACACGCUGCUGUUUCGUUUCGCUCAAAUCUUCCUCGUCGCAGGGUCUUGGCUUAAGUCCAACCCUGUUUUAGAAGCAUUUGGUAAUGCUAAGACUGUUAGGAACAAUAACUCAAGUCGUUUUGGUAAGUUUGUGGAGAUUCAAUUUGAUCGGAGGGGAAGGGUUUCAGGAGCUGCCAUUAGGACUUACUUAUUAGAAAGAUCACGUGUUUGUCAAGUGUUUGAUCCUGAGAGAAAUUAGCACUGUUUCUACAUGCUUUGUGCAGCACCAGUAGAACUUAUUGGAGAGGAAGAAUCAACCAAAAAAAGUUAGGUCAGCUUCCACAACUAAGCAUUCCACAAGUAUGAAAACUCGAAGGUGGUCUGUCACUGGGUUAGGGCUCUACACAAAUAUGAAAACUGGAGAGCAGACAUUCUAUUCUGGAUUGAGAUCAAAUACAACACAGUCAGGUCGGACAUCAACUGCAAGCUCUUCAGUGAAGUUGAAAUCACCAAAUAGGAAACGCCAAACUGGUGGAGAUCCUAUAAGCACACAAGAAUCAGUUGCAAAUUAGAAGCAAGCGAAGAGUUUUGGUAUUUUGUUAGUUUGAUAUUGGAUAUUGGAUUUGGUUGGUAUUAGUACAGAGUUUGUGCUGGUAUAGCCACUGUUUUGUUUUUGGUAAAGGCAAUAUUUUGGUGUUGGUUGAUAUUGCUAUAGGCACUUUGUUUUUGUUGGGUUCUUUUUGCUUGUGUAAAUGCUGGAUGGGUUGAUAAAGGCGUACAAUAUUUCCACUCAAUAAAGGACAUACAAUGAUUAAUCCAUACUUCUGAUCAUUGUACUUGUAUAAUUGACUUAUUAGCUCAAUGUGGAAAUAUAUGAAUUAACCCAUACUACUGAUCAUUACUAUUGUAUAAUU